AACGAACGCUGGCGGCAUGCCUAACACAUGCAAGUCGAACGAGACCUCCGGGUCUAGUGGCGCACGGGUGCGUAACGCGGGGGAAGCUGCCCGUAGGUUCGGAAUAACUCCCCGAAAGGGGUGCUAAGACCGGAGAAUGUCUUCGGACCAAAGAUUUAUCGUCUUUGGAUGGGCCCGCGUUGGCUUAGCGGGUGGGUAGGGUAAAAGCCUACCAAGGCGACGAUCCAUACCUGGUCUGAGAGGAUGAUCCGCCACACUGGGACUGCGACACGGCCCCGACUCCUACGCAACGCAGCAGUGGGGAAUAUUGGACAAUCGGCGCAAGCCUGAUCCAGCCAUGCCGCGUGAGUGAUGCAGGCCUUAGUGUUGUACAGCUCUUUUACCCGGGAUGAUAAUGACAGUACCGGGAGAAUAAGCUCCGGCUAACUCCGUG
rnacentral:rRNA from 1 species